CAAAUACCACCCUGUAGUUUCGCAUUUUUUAUUUUAACAGGCUAAAUUACAGAAAACCGCCAUGUCAAAAUCUGAUUUUUCACUUUCCCUCUGUCAUUUAAAAAUCUAAAUUUUGUCCUCUUGUAAAAUAAAAAAUAUUCACAGGGGUACGGUGUGAACUAUGAUGACAAAAUGAUCAUUUUGCCCCUCACCAUGUUCACAGAGAGAAGGCUGAGGGUAUUUUUGGCAUAAAAAAUAUAUAUAAUAAUAUUUUAUAAACGGAAUUCUAACGGAUUACGAACGGCAGGAGGCGAAGUGAAUAUUUUUCAUUUUACAAGGUGGCAAAGUGUAGGUUUUUAAAUGACAGGGGGAAAAGUGAAAAUUCGGGUUUUAACAGGGAGGUUAUAUGUAAUUUAGCAAUUUUAAUACCUUAUAAUUUAAAGUGUAUCAAUUUAGUAUACCGUCAUUUUAUUUUGGAAAAACUUCAAAUACCCCCUUGUGGUUUCACACUUUCUCACUUUAGUACUCUAUAAUUUAAAGUGUAUCAAGUUAGCUCAUGUUUUUCGGACUUUCUCAUUUUAGUACCAUAUGGCUUAAAGUGUAUCAAGUUAGUAUUCUGGUUUCGUUUUUAUCUUUUUAUUAUCAAUUUCACUAAUUUUUUUCGUUAAAUCAAUGAUAAAGUUAAAACUAAAAGGUACUAAAGUGAAUAUUCGAUAAAACUAGGUGGGGUAUCUGAAGUUUUUUUUGUAUAUAAUUUAACAAAAUAUUAACAGAGAAGCUGACGAAAAAAUAAAAAUAAAACUACAGGACUCUAACUUGAUACACUUUAAAUUAUAUGAUAACAAAAUGAGAAAAUGCGAAACCACAGGGGUGGCAUAUGAAGUUUGCCGUUUUCUUUUUUGGGAUAAUUUCAUCACUACACUCCGGAAGAUCGUAAUUUCAUGAAUAACCCUCUAAACUAGAAAAUAUCAUCAAUACUCUUCUUAGAUAUGUCGAAUCGUUGGCGCUAAUCAUUAAUCCCAAAAUAUCGAGCGGUUAGAAAUACGCAACUAAUCCACUUAAAGCGUAUAGAAACAGUACCCACGAGUCUCGAUUGUGACUUGCCCUACCAACCUCACACCACUUCGAACAUAAUUUGGCCCACCCAGCCUCACGUCAUUUCGAAUAUGACUCGGCCCAACAUGGCCUCUCACCACAGGGCUGAAUGCUGACCCAUUUAAGCCAAUAAGAUACCCUCUUAAAUUAACUUUUCAUCAAAAAGUCAUCCAAUAUUUUAUAAAUACCAAUUUUACCCCCAGCACGAAUUUAACGGUGUAAUAAUUUUAAUUCAAAAUUCGAUAUUCGAUAUUUGAAAUUUGAAAUUUUGAAAUUCAAAAUUUAAAUUUAAAAUAUAAAUUUUAAAUUUUAAAAUCUAAAUUUAAAUUUUAAAUUUCUAAUUUUCAAAUUUUAAAUUUUAAAAUUUAAACCUAGGUUUAAAUUUUGAAAUUAGAAAUUUAAUACUUAGCUUAAAUUUUGAAAUUUAUAAUUUAAAAUUUAAAAUAUAAUAAUUUUAAAUUUUAAAUUUUAGAUAUCUAAAUUUAAAUUUUAAAAUGUAACAUUUUAAAAUUUUAAAUUUGAAUUUACCUUUUUAAAUUUCAUAUUUUAAAUUUAAAUUUCAUAUCGAAUAUCAAAUUUUGAAAUUAAAAUUAUUACACCGUUAAAUUCGUGCUAGGGGUAAAAUUGGUAUUUAUAAAAUAUUAGAUGACUUUUUGAUGAAAAGUUAAUUUAAGAGGAUACCUGUGAAUAUUUUUUAUUUUAAGAGGGGUAUUGAUAAUAUUUUUUAGUUUAGAGGGUUAUGCAUGUAAUUACUGUCUUCUAGAGGGGUAUUGGUCAAAUUAUCCCCUUUUUUUUAUUAAUAUUACGUAAGUACCCCUAGAAAGCUGUAAAAAGGGUUUUUUUUUUUGAAAAAACUUCAAAUAUCAUUUCUUUGGUUUCGUACUUUUUCACUUUAGAAUACUGUAGUUUAAAGUGUAUCACUUUCGUACCCUGCGGCUUUAUUUCUCUUUUUUAGUUACCCCCUUCAUUAAUAUUUUUUGUUAAAUUAAUGACAAAGAUAAAACUAAAAGGUAUCUGAAAUUUUUUGUAUAUAAUUUAACGAAAGUUAAGAAGGGAUUGACGAAAAGAGAAAAAUGAAACCACAGGAUAGUAAAUUGAUACACCUUAAACCAUAGGUACUAAAAUGAGAAAGUGCGAAACUACAGGAGUGGCAUUUGAAGUUUACCCCUUUUUUCUGCUUUUAACCCCCUCACUUUUUUUUUAACAGAUGACAAUCGCAAAUUUAUAUUUGCAUAUAUGGCCCUCGUUUUGCCACGCGAGUGCUAUACUGAUACUUUUAAGUUGAGAACGGUGAUCCAAUCACUAUAUUUCUAUUCAUACUUUAGUUCUUCUUUUGUAACAUAAGGGCAAUAAAAAAUAUAAAAAAAAAAAAACACGAUGAUUCAAAUAUAAAUUUGUUAAAUAUAAGUUUAUUAGGGUCAUUUAUAAAAAAAAAUUUGAGGGGGCUAAAUGUAAAAAAAUCCUGGUGUAAAAUUGUAUGUUUAUCUCCUACAAAAGUUUAAUUUGGCUAAAAUAUAGAAAACUCUGACAAAUAUUUAUUUUUUUAUUUUUCUUUUCUAACUUUUAAAAGUUUAUAUUUUGCCUUCUUAAACUUUUAGAAAUAUUUUCAGAGGGUAGUGAUGUUACUGGAAAGAGCAAAUUGAACAAAUUUUUUUUAUUUAUUUUAUAAGAAAGAAAUAAUCUUUAAUCUAUUUCUGUUAUUUUUAAAUAUAUUUUUGGUAUACAUUAUAAGAAAAAAAUAGAACAGU
rnacentral:lncRNA from 1 species